CCUACGGGAGACAGCAGUGAGGAAUAUUGGUCAAUGGCCGAGAGGCUGAACCAGCCAAGUCGCGUGAGGGAAGACGGCCCUACGGGUUGUAAACCUCUUUUGUCGGGGAGCAAAGAGAGUCACGUGUGACUCAUUGAGAGUACCCGAAGAAAAAGCAUCGGCUAACUCCGUGCCAGCAGCCGCGGUAAUACGGAGGAUGCGAGCGUUAUCCGGAUUUAUUGGGUUUAAAGGGUGCGCAGGCGGAGGUGCACGUCAGCGGUCAAAUUGCGGGGCUCAACCCCGUACUGCCGUUGAAACUGCAGCCCUUGAGUGCGCGAGAAGUAUGCGGAAUGCGUGGUGUAGCGGUGAAAUGCUUAGAUAUUGCGCAGAACUCCGAUUGCGAAGGCAGCAUACCGGCGGCGAUCUGACGCUGAGGCACGAAAGCGUGGGUAUCGAACAGGAUUAGAUACCCCAGUAGUC
rnacentral:rRNA from 1 species